rnacentral:rRNA from 1 species
ACAUACUAAGAACUUUCCAGAGAUGGAUUGGUGCCUUCGGGAACUUAGAUACAGGUGCUGCAUGGCUGUCGUCAGCUCGUGUCGUGAGAUGUUGGGUUAAGUCCGCAACGAGCGCAACCCUUUUCCUUAUUUGCCAGCGGGUCAUGCCGGGAACUUUAAGGAUACUGCCAGUGACAAACUGGAGGAAGGCGGGGACGACGUCAAGUCAUCAUGGCCCUUACGGCCAGGGCUACACACGUGCUACAAUGGUCGGUACAAAGGGUUGCUACCUCGCGAGAGGAUGCUAAUCUCAAAAAGCCGAUCGUAGUCCGGAUCGCAGUCUGCAACUCGACUGCGUGAAGUCGGAAUCGCUAGUAAUCGCGGAUCAGAAUGCCGCGGUGAAUACGUUCCCGGGCCUUGUACACACCGCCCGUCACACCAUGGGAGUUUGUUGCACCAGAAGUUGGUAGUCUAACCGCAAGGAGGACGCUUACCACGGUGUGGCCGAUGACUGGGGUGAAGUCGUAACAAGGUAGGCGUAGAUGA